rnacentral:rRNA from 1 species
AUUGAACGCUGGCGGCAGGCCUAACACAUGCAAGUCGAACGAGUGGCGGACGGGUGAGUGAUGUAUGGGAAACUGCGUGAUGGAGGGGGAUAACUACUGGAAACGGUAGCUAAUACCGCAUACCAUCGGUUGGGCCCAGGUGGGAUUAGCUAGUAGGUGGGGUAAAGGCUCACCUAGGCGACGAGCCCUAGCUGGGCUGAGAGGUUGACCGGCCACACUGGAACUGAGACACGGCCCAGACUCCUACGGGAGGCAGCAGUGGGGAAUCUUGCACAAUGGGCGCAAGCCUGAUGCAGCCAUGCCGCGUGUGUGAAGAAGGCCUUCGGAUUGUAAAGUACUUUCAGCGGGGAGGCGUUACCCGCAGAAGAAGCACCGGCUAACUCCGUGCCAGCCGCCGCGGUAAUUC